UGAGGAAUAUUGGGCAAUGCCCGAAAGGGUGACCCAGCAACGCCGCGUGGAGGAUGAAGGUCGUAAGAUUGUAAACUCCUGUUAGAGGGGAAGAAUAACUAAGUUUGGAGCUUAGUAUGACUGUACCCUCAGAGAAAGCCCCGGCUAACUACGUGCCAGCAGCCGCGGUAAUACGUAGGGGGCAAGCGUUGUCCGGAUUUACUGGGUGUAAAGGGCGCGCAGGCGGAAUGGAAAGUCAGUGGUGAAAUCCUACAGCUUAACUGUAGAACUGCCUUUGAUACUUUCAUUCUUGAGUUCGGGAGAGAGAGACGGAAUUCCAGGUGUCGUGGUGAAAUACGUAGAUAUCUGGAAGAACACCAGUUGCGAAGGCGGUCUCUUGGUCCGACACUGACGCUGAGGCGCGAAAGCGUGGGGAGCAAACA
rnacentral:rRNA from 1 species